AGAAGAUUGUGAAUAUGCUAAAAAUAGUAACUGUAGAAGACUUGAAUCCAUCCAGAAGCUAAAAUUAAAUAGUCUUUUGUGUCACGUUACUUCACUCCCAGACAAUGCUUAAGUGUAUGGGAUUUCUUCUUUACAUUAGGAUGCCUUUCACAGUAAAAAAGAACAUGUUCUAGUAUGUCCUGGAGACAGAGUGAAGAAGCUGGGAGUUCAUAAGAAGUUGGGAGGUGACACAUCCAGGACAGCUGACCCCAACUGAUACAAGGCUUUUUCCAUACUUUGUGAUAUCACACUUAUAUAAAGAAGGGAGAAGAAAGAGAAAGUGGGGAAAUCUUUGAAGUGAUAGCAUUUGUCUUUGGAAGUAAUUGUUACACAUGCUGGAGCCCUGCUGUCCUGGAGGUGGCUGAACACCUGUCUGCCCAUGGAAGCCUGUGAUCUCUGCCUUUUGUGCCUCUGACUGGAGACGGAGCGGGGAGCAAGUUUAAGUGUGAACAUUACAACUGGAGAAUACCAUUCCUAAAUCAUGACAUAACCAAGUCCCACUGUGCACCAUUCCCGAAGGCCAGCUUUGUGCUAAAUAGAUUCAUCUCCUACCAGCUCCUAAAUAAGUGGGAAGAAGAAUGCACUUGGAGACGAUCUCAGAUUUCUGUUGACAAUAUCUCACCCUCUGCGGUGGCCAGAGCUCAGGGUCUCGAGACCUCCAGGGCAGCCAGAGGGAUGUCCUGGAAUCCGACAGGAGACAGCAUCAAAGGCUUUGCUGAAAUACAGGCCAAAGACACAUCUAAAAAAAGUUUCAAUUAUUCUACGUGGAAUUAACUCUCCUGACCACUCCCAAGAGGUCCUUUGUAGGAUGGCAGAUAAAAGUCAAAUUCACCACUAGAAGAACUCUAGUUUAACUGCCCUAAUAAGAUGCCAGUGCAAGAUCUUGUUUUUGUAGCACAUAAAAAGGCAACAAUCACAGAAGAAACUGCACAUCUGCAUGCUAAGGAAAAUCUCAGACCACCUCUUAUGUAACACCCCACACUUCUAUUACACCAGCAGCUAUGCCACAUCUGGCAACAGUCUUCAGUUCAAAUGCUGCCAAACUGCCUAAACCAGACACGAUCUCCUAACUCACAUUUGCACGUUCUCUGAGAUACUUCAGGUCUUUUACUGUUAACAGGAACUUGAGAAAAGCUGUAUUUGAACCAAAAAUUGUUUGAGAAGACUUUGCAUCAAAACUCCACUUUGAAGAAUCAUCAGAAAUUAGCAAGUGGCCAAUGAUAGAAAUAAAAUAUUACAUAUAAAAGGUCUUAUGUCACACUUCAUUAAAUCUUAAAACAAAGUAAAAACUUGUUCCGUCAGAACAACAGUGUUUCCACUCUCCUUUUCCAGCACACAGGCUUCAUCUGGACCAAAAUCUGAACUGCAGAACUAUUUAUGAUGUUACAUGUCAGAGAUGUCUGAAGAGGGUCAAAAAAAUAUUUUAUGUGACAAGGAUAUCCAGUAUUUUUUGACCUCCAUGGGAAAACAUGCUUUCCAAAAGGCUCCAGACUUUGAUGGUUUCCUAUCAGGACACUGAGGGAACUGAAAGCAACUGAAAAUUCUCCAGCAAUGCAGCUGCUAUAAGCAAGAUCGAGGAAGCACAGGGCUCAACAGUCACCUCAUGUGACUCUCUCCCUGUAGCCUCUGACAGGAAAAAGGAUGCACUGGGAAUAGUUUAUGGCUGCCAGGGAGAUGGCCAAGGACAGUUUUAGCAACUACUAAAAAUGAUUCCUGUUUACACCAGAGCUGCUGUUGGAAAGAUGAAAUAGCCCUUAUUUCUACCACCACCACACCUUCCCUCCCCUUCCUCCCCCACCCCACCCACAACAGCUCUGUUUAAAAAUUUUUUAAAUUCUGCAUUAAAAUUACAGGUACUACACAUGGAAUGCACCUCCACUUUAAAAACAAACAUUUUUCUUAAACAGUAUUUAAGUCAGAUCUAAGCUGGUACUGCACCUAGGCCACUUGCAUAUUGCACAGUGACAGUACUAAAUAAAUGCUUGAGAAAAGCAGCAUUACUUAUUUUUGUAUUAAGGCAUAAGUAUUUUUCCUGCUUUUUAAGAGCUGCUCAGGAUGAGAAGAAACUGCUGAAAUUCCCUCCGAAUCCUCUAGCUGCACUCUGUUCUUCAGUUUCGUGAACUGUAAGUAAUGGCAACUUCAAACACUAAAAAUGGAACUCUCGUCCAAUCUGUUCAGGAACGCACAAUUGGAAAAAAAUUUAAUCAAGCGACACUAUAUAAUGCAGAAGCAAUCAAAAGCAGUGAAACAAUUUGAAACCAUUACAAGAACAAUUUUUAAAAGUCCUAAACAUAGAAUAAGUACAAAAAUACAUGCAACACUGGAGCACACUCAGCAACUUCCGUGAAACAUUCAGUUUCAUAAAAAAGCUGAUGAACUAUUGCUCAAGAAAGAGAAACAAUGUAUCCUACUUGCAUGACAGUCUCAUUUGGUGCUUGGCAUCGCAGUUCUCAAUAAACUCAUGCACUACAUAUGUGGCAAUUAUAUUGAAAAAGCGAUACCAAUAUAGGUAAAGCUGCUAAUAUUUGCAUUAGGUCAUCCGGUUGCAACUUGUCUCUCACAGUUCAUAACCUGAAAUUCAAUGCAUCAUCAAUGACCCCCUUCUUCCAUUUAAUUUUCAUCAAUUAAAAAUAUGAUAGUCCGAAAGUCUCAUUUUCUAAAGCCAGUGCCAAGUUUGAUUCUACAUUUUCUCUAAUAUAUGGCGAGUACAAAUAUAGAAUUUUAGCAUAUUUAAAGAAAACUAGUUAUGUAUUUACCUGUAUUGAAAACUAUCUGACAGAAAACACAAAUAGCAGGCAGCCAGCCAUUCAUACAGAAAUGAUUCAGUAUUAACAUGGUCAUAGUAUUAAUGAAUUCCUAACGAGAUAAUGCUGCUUACAACUGGUUUUCCAUGAACAACGUUUUCAUGGUGUUACACAGUGGACAGGCAUAUCAUUUAAGCAGCGGCUGAAUACUAUAAAGAGAUGAAGCCCUCUAUUUACCCACCGGCCAGGAAGAAAUCACAGAGCUUCAUACACUCUUGAGAUGGAGCGAUCUCUCCAGUGGCAUGAUACAACCAUCACACUAUGUUACCACGGUGCAUUUCCUGCACGAGGAAUUACAAAUGUCAUAUAUUUUAUGUGCUUGAGAUGUUAUUACAGCACCCAAUCUCUACCAAAAUAAAGUUUGUUGGUAUUUCCAUUACAA